rnacentral:lncRNA from 1 species
GAGCUAUCAUUAUAUCUUGUAUUGGAAACAUACCUUACUUGUGCUCCGGAUUCUUGAAAGAGGGUAGCUUUACAUCUAUCUAUGGCCAAUAAAAAAAAUUGACCGUUAGGUUGGAAGGAGUGAAUUUCAGAGAAAUUGCAUGCACUCAUCCGUAGGGUCGAUCUUUGUGUGGACCCCCUUUUAAGCAAAGUUGAAGUACCACUUGAUUGUUUUCCUAUCUUUACUUGUAAUAUAAAUAUAUUUUUUUAUAAACUUUCAUUUACUACAUGUUUAGAGUGACAACAGGAUGAAAAAAAUUGUGACUAUUCUUAUGCUUAAAUAAC